AAACCAACAGGGAUUGCCCUAGUAACGGCGAGUGAAGCGGCAACAGCUCAAAUUUGAAAUCUGGCUCUCGGGCCCGAGUUGUAAUUUGUAGAGGAUACUUUUGAUGCGGUGCCUUCCGAGUUCCCUGGAACGGGACGCCAUAGAGGGUGAGAGCCCCGUCUGGUUGGAUGCCAAAUCUCUGUAAAGUUCCUUCAACGAGUCGAGUAGUUUGGGAAUGCUGCUCUAAAUGGGAGGUAUAUGUCUUCUAAAGCUAAAUACCGGCCAGAGACCGAUAGCGCACAAGUAGAGUGAUCGAAAGAUGAAAAGCACUUUGAAAAGAGAGUUAAAAAGUACGUGAAAUUGUUGAAAGGGAAGCGUUUAUGACCAGACUUGGGCUUGGUUAAUCAUCUGGGGUUCUCCCCAGUGCACUUUUCCAGUCCAGGCCAGCAUCAGUUUUCCCCGGGGGAUAAAGGCGGCGGGAAUGUGGCUCUCUUCGGGGAGUGUUAUAGCCCACCGUGUAAUACCCUGGGGGGGACUGAGGUUCGCGCAUCUGCAAGGAUGCUGGCGUAAUGGUCAUCAACGAC
rnacentral:rRNA from 3 species